ensembl:rRNA 5S_rRNA 5S ribosomal RNA
GCCAGCAGCCAUAUCACCCUGUAGCCCAAGACUGGUUGCCCACUGAAGCUAAGCAGGGCUGAGCCUGGUCAGUACCUGGAUGGGAGACCUCCUGGGAAAACUAGGUUGCUGCUGGAA